rnacentral:rRNA from 1 species
CCCGGCGACCGGCGCACGGGUGAGUAACACGUAUGCAACCUGGCCGCCACAGGGGGAUAACCCGCGGAAACGCGGCCUAAUACCCCGUGACGCCACCGGAGGGCAUCCUCCGGUGGCCAAAGGAGCGAUCCGGUGGCGGAUGGGCAUGCGGCGCAUUAGCUAGACGGCGGGGUGACAGCCCACCGUGGCGACGAUGCGUAGGGGUUCUGAGAGGAAGGCCCCCCACACUGGGACUGAGACACGGCCCAGACUCCUACGGAAGGCAGCAG